UACGAAGGGUGCAAGCGUUGUUCGGAAUGACUGGGCGUAAAGGGCGCGUAGGCGGUUUUAUACGUCAGAUGUGAAAGUCCUGGGCUCAACCUGGGGAUUGCAUUUGAUACGGUAAGGACUAGAGGUUACGAGGGGAGAAUGGAAUUGCUCGUGUAGAAGUGAAAUUCGUAGAUAUGAGCAGGAACACCAAUGGCGAAGGCAAUUCUCUGGCGAUAACCUGACGCUGAGGCGCGAAAGCGUGGGGAGCAAACAGG
rnacentral:rRNA from 1 species